GGUUAAGCGACUAAGCGUACACGGUGGAUGCCCUGGCAGUCAGAGGCGAUGAAGGACGUGCUAAUCUGCGAUAAGCGUCGGUAAGGUGAUAUGAACCGUUAUAACCGGCGAUUUCCGAAUGGGGAAACCCAGUGUGAUUCGUCACACUAUCAUUAACUGAAUCCAUAGGUUAAUGAGGCGAACCGGGGGAACUGAAACAUCUAAGUACCCCGAGGAAAAGAAAUCAACCGAGAUUCCCCCAGUAGCGGCGAGCGAACGGGGAGGAGCCCAGAGCCUGAAUCAGUAUGUGUGUUAGUGGAAGCGUCUGGAAAGGCGUGCGAUACAGGGUGACAGCCCCGUACACAAAAAUGCACAUGCUGUGAGCUCGAUGAGUAGGGCGGGACACGUGGUAUCCUGUCUGAAUAUGGGGGGACCAUCCUCCAAGGCUAAAUACUCCUGACUGACCGAUAGUGAACCAGUACCGUGAGGGAAAGGCGAAAAGAACCCCGGCGAGGGGAGUGAAAAAGAACCUGAAACCGUGUACGUACAAGCAGUGGGAGCCUCUUUAAUGGGGUGACUGCGUACCUUUUGUAUAAUGGGUCAGCGACUUAUAUUCUGUAGCAAGGUUAACCGAAUAGGGGAGCCGAAGGGAAACCGAGUCUUAACUGGGCGUUAAGUUGCAGGGUAUAGACCCGAAACCCGGUGAUCUAGCCAUGGGCAGGUUGAAGGUUGGGUAACACUAACUGGAGGACCGAACCGACUAAUGUUGAAAAAUUAGCGGAUGACUUGUGGCUGGGGGUGAAAGGCCAAUCAAACCGGGAGAUAGCUGGUUCUCCCCGAAAGCUAUUUAGGUAGCGCCUCGUGAAUUCAUCUCCGGGGGUAGAGCACUGUUUCGGCAAGGGGGUCAUCCCGACUUACCAACCCGAUGCAAACUGCGAAUACCGGAGAAUGUUAUCACGGGAGACACACGGCGGGUGCUAACGUCCGUCGUGAAGAGGGAAACAACCCAGACCGCCAGCUAAGGUCCCAAAGUCAUGGUUAAGUGGGAAACGAUGUGGGAAGGCCCAGACAGCCAGGAUGUUGGCUUAGAAGCAGCCAUCAUUUAAAGAAAGCGUAAUAGCUCACUGGUCGAGUCGGCCUGCGCGGAAGAUGUAACGGGGCUAAACCAUGCACCGAAGCUGCGGCAGCGACACUGUGUGUUGUUGGGUAGGGGAGCGUUCUGUAAGCCGUUGAAGGUGGCCUGUGAGGGUUGCUGGAGGUAUCAGAAGUGCGAAUGCUGACAUAAGUAACGAUAAAGCGGGUGAAAAGCCCGCUCGCCGGAAGACCAAGGGUUCCUGUCCAACGUUAAUCGGGGCAGGGUGAGUCGACCCCUAAGGCGAGGCCGAAAGGCGUAGUCGAUGGGAAACAGGUUAAUAUUCCUGUACUUGGUGUUACUGCGAAGGGGGGACGGAGAAGGCUAUGUUGGCCGGGCGACGGUUGUCCCGGUUUAAGCGUGUAGGCUGAUUUUCCAGGCAAAUCCGGAGAAUCAAGGCUGAGGCGUGAUGACGAGGCACUACGGUGCUGAAGCAACAAAUGCCCUGCUUCCAGGAAAAGCCUCUAAGCAUCAGGUAACAUCAAAUCGUACCCCAAACCGACACAGGUGGUCAGGUAGAGAAUACCAAGGCGCUUGAGAGAACUCGGGUGAAGGAACUAGGCAAAAUGGUGCCGUAACUUCGGGAGAAGGCACGCUGAUAUGUAGGUGAAGCGACUUGCUCGUGGAGCUGAAAUCAGUCGAAGAUACCAGCUGGCUGCAACUGUUUAUUAAAAACACAGCACUGUGCAAACACGAAAGUGGACGUAUACGGUGUGACGCCUGCCCGGUGCCGGAAGGUUAAUUGAUGGGGUCAGCCGCAAGGCGAAGCUCUUGAUCGAAGCCCCGGUAAACGGCGGCCGUAACUAUAACGGUCCUAAGGUAGCGAAAUUCCUUGUCGGGUAAGUUCCGACCUGCACGAAUGGCGUAAUGAUGGCCAGGCUGUCUCCACCCGAGACUCAGUGAAAUUGAACUCGCUGUGAAGAUGCAGUGUACCCGCGGCAAGACGGAAAGACCCCGUGAACCUUUACUAUAGCUUGACACUGAACAUUGAGCCUUGAUGUGUAGGAUAGGUGGGAGGCUUUGAAGUGUGGACGCCAGUCUGCAUGGAGCCGACCUUGAAAUACCACCCUUUAAUGUUUGAUGUUCUAACGUGGACCCGUGAUCCGGGUUGCGGACAGUGUCUGGUGGGUAGUUUGACUGGGGCGGUCUCCUCCUAAAGAGUAACGGAGGAGCACGAAGGUUGGCUAAUCCUGGUCGGACAUCAGGAGGUUAGUGCAAUGGCAUAAGCCAGCUUGACUGCGAGCGUGACGGCGCGAGCAGGUGCGAAAGCAGGUCAUAGUGAUCCGGUGGUUCUGAAUGGAAGGGCCAUCGCUCAACGGAUAAAAGGUACUCCGGGGAUAACAGGCUGAUACCGCCCAAGAGUUCAUAUCGACGGCGGUGUUUGGCACCUCGAUGUCGGCUCAUCACAUCCUGGGGCUGAAGUAGGUCCCAAGGGUAUGGCUGUUCGCCAUUUAAAGUGGUACGCGAGCUGGGUUUAGAACGUCGUGAGACAGUUCGGUCCCUAUCUGCCGUGGGCGCUGGAGAACUGAGGGGGGCUGCUCCUAGUACGAGAGGACCGGAGUGGACGCAUCACUGGUGUUCGGGUUGUCAUGCCAAUGGCACUGCCCGGUAGCUAAAUGCGGAAGAGAUAAGUGCUGAAAGCAUCUAAGCACGAAACUUGCCCCGAGAUGAGUUCUCCCUGAGACUUUAAGUCUCCUGAAGGAACGUUGAAGACGACGACGUUGAUAGGCCGGGUGUGUAAGCGCAGCGAUGCGUUGAGCUAACCGGUACUAAUGAACCGUGAGGCUUAACCUU
rnacentral:rRNA from 1 species